rnacentral:misc_RNA from 1 species
GCAAACUUGGUCAUUUAGAGGAAGUAAAAGUCGUAACAAGGUUUCCGUAGGUGAACCUGCGGAAGGAUCAUUAAUGAAAUCAAAGUCGGCCGAUUGUGCUGGUGCCCUCAAAGCACAUGUGCACGUCGGUUGCAAAUCCACACACCUGUGCACCUUAGACUUGGAGUGAGUGGUCGUUUUCGGCCACAGCUUCGAGUAUUUUUACACACUCUGUAUGUAAAAGGAUGUUGAAGUGCUUUGCACAAAAAACAUACAACUUUCAACAACGGAUCUCUUGGCUCUCGCAUCGAUGAAGAACGCAGC